CAGCCGCCGCGGUAAUACGUAGGGGGCGAGCGUUGUCCGGAUUUACUGGGCGUAAAGGGUGAGUAGGCGGUUAUGUAUGUCAGGUGUAAAAGGCGUAGGCUUAACUUACGUUAGCACUUGAAACUGCAUAACUUGAGUGCAGGAGAGGUAAGCGGAAUUCCUAGUGUAGCGGUGAAAUGCGUAGAUAUUAGGAGGAACACCAGUGGCGAAGGCGGCUUACUGGACUGUAACUGACGCUGAGUCACGAAAGCGUGGGUAGCAAACAGGAUUAGAUACCCUGGUAGUCCACGCCGUAAACGAUGAGUGCUAGGUGUUGGGUAGCGAUAUUCAGUGCCGAAGUAAACACAAUAAGCACUCCGCCUGGGGAGUACGUACGCAAGUAUGAAACUCAAAGGAAUUGACGGGGACCCGCACAAGCAGCGGAGCAUGUGGUUUAAUUCGAAGCAACGCGAAGAACCUUACCAAGGCUUGACAUCCCCUUGACCGGCACAGAGAUGUGCCCUCUCCUUCGGGAGCAAGGGUGACAGGAGGUGCAUGGCC
rnacentral:rRNA from 1 species